rnacentral:rRNA from 1 species
CCUACGGGGGGCAGCAGUGGGGAAUAUUGCACAAUGGGGGAAACCCUGAUGCAGCGACGCCGCGUGAGUGAAGAAGUAUUUCGGUACGUAAAGCUCUAUCAGCAGGGAAGAAAAUGACGGUACCUGACUAAGAAGCCCCGGCUAACUACGUGCCAGCAGCCGCGGUAAUACGUAGGGGGCAAGCGUUAUCCGGAUUUACUGGGUGUAAAGGGAGCGUAGACGGCAGCGCAAGUCUGGAGUGAAAGGCGGGGGCCCAACCCCCGGACUGCUCUGGAAAAUAUGUUACUGGAGUGCAGGAGAGGUGAGCAGAAUUCCUAGUGUAGCGGUGAAAUGCGUAGAUAUUAGGAGGAACACCAGUGGCGAAGGCGGCUCACUGGACUGUAACUGACGGUGAGGCUCGAAAGCGUGGGGAGCAAACAGGAUUAGAUACCCGAGUAGUC